CUUCCUCAGCAAAAAGAGGAGGAUUGGCAGCAGUUAGCUCAGGGCUAAUCUUCCUCAAAAAAUAUGUAUAUACAUAUUCAGAUCAGGUGUGCUAGAUAGGUUUCUCAAGCAACUGUCCUCAAGUGGCAUCCAGGGGAGAAAAAUGAAUUUUGAGAAUCUGUAGGGUGGAAAAUAGACUCGUAGCAUCUUUGGGAAAGGUUAUUUAGUUCAGCGACCUGUUUGCUCUCUGAAUACCGUCCCCUGAAGUACCCUAUAAAAAUAUCAGGCUACGGAGGAGAGUGAAGUGAAAGGAAAAUUUUCGGCAUGUACCCCGCCCCCUAGAGAUGGACUCCUGUGUUGUACAAAGUUUUGGACAAAAUUAUUGCACCAUCUGACUUGCAGACGGGAAGCUAAAAUACCAGAUUGCCGGAUAGUAGACACCUGGUAAUUCUACAUCAGAAAUUUCGGCCAACUAAUUAUUAGUUUAUGUUCGAAGGUCUCCAGGACUCACUGUGCUUUGGCAAGACCGACAAUAUUCUCUGCUCUGGAAACAACUUGAAAUUAACACUAAAAUAACCAAGAAGCUUAGUUCAAACAAGCAAAGAAAACUCGUCAUUUGCAAUGGAAAAGCCAAAGGAGUGGGAGUAUGGAAACCAAAUCUUUGACGCUAACACACUUUUCUCUGGGCUUCAGUUUCCUCAUAUAAAAGGUGAGAAGAAUAAAGCUUAAAAGAUCCCAGAAUCCCACACCAGUAAGCGACAGAGGCAGCCACAUGGUCUAUAGCCAUAUAAAACCAUAUGGAAUAGCAUUUAAGAACAAGACCAGUCCAGGACAUCCACUGAUGGCCUCAGCCCUCACACUCCCAGGCCAGGAGUCAGCACCACAGGCACCACAGCAAGAUCCAUGUGGGAUCCACUGGGCUCCAGCAGAGAUCCAGCACCUGCUCAUCAACAUGGAGGAGCCUGCCACCAAGAGGUGCCUGAAGACAAUUCACUGCAACACUUCAGUCCAUGAAGAUGUGGCCACACACCUUCAGGAGCUGGGAUAUGUCCAGCAUGCAUACUAGUGCUGUACCAAGUUCAAGGCCCUCAAGGUGACCUAUAGGAAGACCCACAUGGCCAUCCUGCACUCUCGGGUGCAGCCCCAGGGCUGCCCCUUCUACAGAGUGAUGGCUCAGGUGCUGCAGAUGACUGGCAGCAGCAGCCCAGGCAAUCUCAGGGAGCAGACCUGGCCAUGAGAUCGCGACCACCACCACCAGCUGAUCCAGGGAAGGACAAAAGUAACGAGGAGAAAGAUGGAUGAGCAGAAGAAUACUCUCCCCAGCAGCAGGAGCAGCAGGAGGCACCAGAACCAGAGAUGGAGAUAGAGACAGAGUAUCAGUUUAAGCUGGAAGUGGAAGCAUUAGAGCUGUCCAGUGACCUCAGUCCUGAAAACCCAACUGGUACCCAAACCAGCAAGACAACUGAGAAGGAGAUUAGCCAGGAUGCCCAAGGGACUGGGGCGCAUAGUUGGGCAAAUGUGUUCUACCAAAGCCCUGAUGCCAGGGGACUGGGUAGAGAAGGAAGCCAUAAGUGAUACAACCAAAGUCGAGAUCCCCUCAAAGGAGCUGGAGCUCCUGAAAAUUUAGGAAAGCAUUUCACUGCAGGUGUUAGAGUCAGCAGACACUGCCAGUUAAUGCUAAGGCUGACACUAGAACCCAAGCCCAGGGAUCCUUCCACUGGCUAAGAACUGCCCCUUGCCUUGAAUGUAGUUGAUAACUGGUCAUCAUGGUAAUUUUUUUCAGUGUUAAAACCGGGGCCUAGAAAGAAUAGGAUGAGGAGAGCAGCUAGAAUUUCUUUUUUCUCCAACAGAAGUCUAGGGAAGGGCAAAGUCUCCAGACAGAAACCAUCCUCAGAGAGAGAAACUCUAUCACCAGCCUCAAAGGCUCUCGGGGUGUCUACGGUGUCCCCCUGGAGCACAGGUCCAGCUCAGAGCCUGGACCCUCAGGUGCCACCAGAUUGUUGCUGCCAUGAUUGCAGCUGAGAUGGCAGAGAACAGGUGCCUGCUCAGCCAAUCAGCCCGGGAAUCAGCUGCCCGGCUGCAGCAUCACCUACACCAGCACAAUGUCCACCUGGCAGCCCUGGCGCAGGUAGCCAGAGACAGUUAGGCCCAGCCCCAGGAGGUGGUGGUCAUUCUUCAGGACAUUGCAGAUGAUGUCCAUGAGGGGGCAGCCCUCCUAAGGUCAUCCCUGGGCCACCUGAGUCAGGAAUGAGACCUGUUGACCACAGCCUGUGCCAUACCCAGCUACUCCAGGACUUGGGGAGAUUUCUUCUCUGAGAUUUGGAUUCUUGCUUCUCUUUUCUCCUCUUUCUUUUAGGAGAAAUUUGAAAAUUAAGUGGAGGAAAGGGGUAGAUGACAAAAUGAACAAAAGGCAAGGGAACUUAGGAUUUUAAUAAAAGAUCUUGAGAUGAA